CGAGAGCGUUCUGGGGACGGGUGUGCUAGCGGCUGUGCGGCUGUGGAAAGAUGCUCCGAGUAGUGAAGACGCUGCUUGCGGAACUGGCUGAGAAAGGCUUUGAUGGUGUUCAGGGUUUUGCGCUGGAAGAAACAACGUACACAUCCCCGGAAGCCUUAAUCCACGUCCCGCAAGGAAAGCGUCCUGCAAGACUGACCAUGUUGAAGAUCUUGUACGUGGACUUCUGCUGACAUCCCACCACGCAGGACGGACCACUGGGGCAGGGCUUCAGUGAGCUAAAGUGCCCAUUUCUCCAGGCUACAUACCUGAGUCCACGCCUCGUCUGCCAGGAUCUCGGAGGUUGUCCUGUCUCUACACCGGAGGUGCCCACAGGGCGAGGGGACCUCUCAAAUCUGUCGACCUGUAACUGCUGAAAGUCCGUGGACUCCAUGUCACCGAUGUCAAAGCCGUCCCUCAGAGAUAAGGACAACAGUCGUGGGGAAGUGCCGGAGAGCGGGGAUGGCAGAGCCCUAAUUAGAAAUGCCGGCUCUGCACCUGCUCUGAACGUCUGUGAGGAGGGGCCUCCGCCCCAGAGAUGUCCCCGGAAGGGGCACAGGAAUCCUCAGGCGCUCACGGUGCCGAGGCCCUUCUGGCAGCCUGUGUCACCUCCGCCAGGUCAGGCCUCAGCCCUGCCACUAGGGGUGCAACCCCGGGGGCUCCUCCCAUGGCUGAAGAGGGGGC